UACCAGCACCCCGAGUGGUCGGUACGAUUAUUGGGCCUAAAGCAUCCGUAGCCGGUUCUACAAGUCUUCCGUUAAAUCCACCUGCUUAACAGAUGGGCUGCGGAGGAUACUAUAGAGCUAGGAGGCGGGAGAGGCAAGCGGUACUUAGUGGGUAGGGGUAAAAUCCGUUGAUCCAUUGAAGACCACCAGUGGCGAAGGCGGCUUGCCAGAACGCACUCGACGGUGAGGGAUGAAAGCUGGGGGAGCAAACGGG
rnacentral:rRNA from 1 species